CAAUAGCGUAUAUUUAAGUUGCUGCAGUUAAAAAGCUCGUAGUUGGAUUUCGGGUGGGAAUGGCCGGUCCGCCGUUUCGGUGUGCACUUGCUACGCCCACCUUGCUGCCGGGGACGUGCUCUUGAGUUCACGCUCGGGACACGGAGUCGGCGAGGUUACUUUGAGUAAAUUAGAGUGUUCAAAGCAGGCCUACGCUCUGAAUACAUUAGCAUGGAAUAACACGAUAGGACUCUGGCCUAUCUUGUUGGUCUGUAGGACCGGAGUAAUGAUUAAGAGGGACAGUCGGGGGCAUUCGUAUUUCAUUGUCAGAGGUGAAAUUCUUGGAUUUAUGAAAGACGAACUACUGCAAAAGCAUUUGCCAAGGAUGUUUUCAUUAA
rnacentral:rRNA from 1 species